rnacentral:rRNA from 1 species
GCACUCUCGUUUAGAUUGAAGGAGCUUGCUCCUGAUUGAUAAACAUUUGAGUGAGUGGCGGACGGGUGAGUAACACGUGGGUAACCUGCCCUAAAGUGGGGGAUAACAUUUGGAAACAGAUGCUAAUACCGCAUAAAACCUAACACCGCAUGGUGUAGGGUUGAAAGAUGGUUUCGGCUAUCACUUUAGGAUGGACCCGCGGUGCAUUAGUUAGUUGGUGAGGUAAAGGCUCACCAAGACCGUGAUGCAUAGCCGACCUGAGAGGGUAAUCGGCCACACUGGGACUGAGACACGGCCCAAACUCCUACGGGAGGCAGCAGUAGGGAAUCUUCCACAAUGGGCGCAAGCCUGAUGCAGCCAUGCCGCGUGUGUGAAGAAGGCCUUCGGGUUGUAAAACUCUGUUGUUGGAGAAGAAUGGUCGGCAGAGUAACUGUUGUCGGCGUGACGGUAUCCAACCAGAAAGCCACGGCUAACUACGUGCCAGCAGCCGCGGUAAUACGUAGGUGGCAAGCGUUGUCCGGAAUUAUUGGGCGUAAAGCGAGCGCAGGCGGUUUUUUAAGUCUGAUGUGAAAGCCCUCGGCUUAACCGAGGAAGUGCAUCGGAAACUGGGAAACUUGAGUGCAGAAGAGGACAGUGGAACUCCAUGUGUAGCGGUGAAAUGCGUAGAUAUAUGGAAGAACACCAGUGGCGAAGGCGGCUGUCUGGUCUGUAACUGACGCUGAGGCUCGAAAGCAUGGGAGCGAACAGGAUUAGAUACCCUGGUAGUCCACGCCGUAAACGAUGGAUGCUGGAUGUGGAGGGUUUCCGCCCUUCAGUGCCGCAGCUAACGCAUUAAGCAUUCCGCCUGGGGAGUACGACCGCAAGGUUGAAACUCAAAGGAAUUGACGGGGGCCCGCACAAGCGGUGGAGUAUGUGGUUUAAUUCGACGCAACGCGAAGAACCUUACCUAGACUUGACAUCUCCUUGACCGAUGCCUAAUCGCAUCUUUCCCUUCGGGGACAGAAGUGACAGGUGGUGCAUGGUUGUCGUCAGCUCGUGCUGUGAGAUGUUGGGUUAAGUCCCGCAACGAGCGCAACCCUUGUCUUUAGUUGCCAUCAUUAAGUUGGGCACUCUAGAGAGACUGCCAGGGAUAACCUGGAGGAAGGUGGGGAUGACGUCAAAUCAUCAUGCCCCUUAUGCCUAGGGCUACACACGUGCUACAAUGGGUGGUACAGAGGGCAGCCAAGCCGUGA